UACGCGUGGAAUACAAAGAAGGAAGUGAUGUAAUGUGCAGACAGGAAGUGAUGUAGGGUUACGACAGGAAGUGAUGUAGGGUUACGACAGGAAAUGAUGUAGUGUUAAGACAGGAAGUUCAAGAAUAAAGGUGAUUUAGUAGGAAAUAAGGAAGAGACAAUACUGGAUCUUGAGGCAGAUAAGGAUUAUAAAGUAGUGAAGAAAAUAUCUGGAGAUCCAUUAACACCCAGCAGCCGUCUUCACAGGACAUCACCCAUCACAGUGUCUCCACCUCACUGCCUGACAACAGAGGUAACCAGUGCCAAGAAGGUUCUAGAAGUCACCAACAAGAUCAUUGAUCUGCUGACAGGAGAGGUUCCUAUAAGGUGUCAGGAUGUCACUGUCUAUUUCUCC